rnacentral:rRNA from 2 species
UACGAAGGGGGCUAGCGUUGUUCGGAUUUACUGGGCGUAAAGCGCACGUAGGCGGAUCGUUAAGUCGGGGGUGAAAUCCUGGAGCUCAACUCCAGAACUGCCUUCGAUACUGGCGAUCUUGAGUCCGGAAGAGGUGAGUGGAACUCCUAGUGUAGAGGUGGAAUUCGUAGAUAUUAGGAAGAACACCAGUGGCGAAGGCGGCUCACUGGUCCGGUACUGACGCUGAGGUGCGAAAGCGUGGGGAG